rnacentral:tRNA from 1 species
GAUAAAGUGGCUGAUAAUAGGCAGUAAAUUGUAAAUUUUCUUAUAGGUUAAAAUAAUUCCUCUUUAUCA